rnacentral:rRNA from 1 species
GCGGCAGGCUUAACACAUGCAAGUCGAGGGGUAACAGGGAUUGCUUGCAAUCCGCUGACGACCGGCGCACGGGUGCGUAACGCGUAUGCAACCUACCUUCUACAGGGGGAUAGUCAAUAGAAAUGUUGAAUAAUACCCCAUACGAUCAUUUAUCUGCAUAGAUAAAUGAAGAAAGCUCCGGCGGUAGAAGAUGGGCAUGCGUCCUAUUAGUUAGUUGGUAAGGUAACGGCUUACCAAGACAUCGAUAGGUAGGGGUCCUGAGAGGGAGAUCCCCCACACUGGUACUGAGACACGGACCAGACUCCUACGGGAGGCAGCAGUGAGGAAUAUUGGACAAUGGAGGCAACUCUGAUCCAGCCAUGCCGCGUGCAGGAAGACGGCCCUAUGGGUUGUAAACUGCUUUUAUACAGGAAGAAUUGUACCUACGUGUAGGUAUUUGACGGUACUGUACGAAUAAGGAUCGGCUAACUCCGUGCCAGCAGCCGCGGUAAUACGGAGGAUCCAAGCGUUAUCCGGAAUCAUUGGGUUUAAAGGGUCCGUAGGCGGUCUAAUAAGUCAGAGGUGAAAUCCUGCAGCUCAACUGUAGCAUUGCCUUUGAUACUGUUAGACUUGAGUUAUUGUGAAGUAGUUAGAAUGUGUAGUGUAGCGGUGAAAUGCAUAGAUAUUACACAGAAUACCGAUUGCGAAGGCAGAUUACUAACAAUAUACUGACGCUGAGGGACGAAAGCGUGGGUAGCGAACAGGAUUAGAUACCCUGGUAGUCCACGCCGUAAACGAUGGAUACUAGCUGUUCGAUCAACAUUGGUUGGUUGAGUGGCUAAGCGAAAGUGAUAAGUAUCCCACCUGGGG